CUUCCUGCUAUGUGGUAAGCACUAGAAAUUACAUGCCUAGUUAUUUUUGAAACUUCAAAGCGAGAAACUAAUCUAUCAACACUGAGCCACUGAAAGUUUGUACGAUGUGAGUGAGAGGAUUUUGAUUUUAAAAGUGCUGAACGUAAGAGGAAAUGGAGUAGAAAGUAAGAAUGAGUUUUGCUUUUAUAUGAAUCGAGAAGGGGUGAAACCGGCAGAACAAAAGGAUAAGAACAAAAGUAAAAAUUAUACAAUUUUUACUAUUUUGAUAAUACCAUACUACAAACGGUCGAAGCGGUGGUAGACGUGGAGAGGACGUGAAGGACUAUCCAAUUUCUACAAAUCCGAGAUUAACAAAUGCCAAACGAUCCAAGCGGUCACUGCUUCGUCAGGGAUGCAAAAAAAGCAUAUCCAAAAUUAAAAGAAAGUAUAUCCAGUAAAUAAAGAAAAUAGAUUAAAAAAUUAAUUAGAGAAAAAUAGUAGAACUUACGAGAAGUCUGUAAAAAGUGAAAAAGAAAAUAAGAUUAAAAUAUAUUGUAAAACCGACACCACUCUACAGGGUUAUUUCUGUAAAGAAAAGGUGAU